rnacentral:tRNA from 1 species
GAGACCUUAGUUUAAUGGUAAAACAACUGACUUUUAAUCGGUAUUUAAGAGUUCGAUUCUCUUAGGUCUUA